rnacentral:tRNA from 1 species
UGUUCUGUGGUGAAGUUGGGUAACGCACCCUGUCAAGCGUAUUGGAGAGACGUGGGUUCAAAUCCCACCAGAACUA